rnacentral:tRNA from 1 species
GCGGGUAUCGUAUAUUGGUAAUACUCUAGCCUUCCAAGCUAAAAAGGUGGGUUCGAUUCCCACUACCCGCUCCA